GGCGGGCGAGGCGCGGGCUGAGCUGGAGGCAGUGCGGGCGGCUCUGGAGGCUGCGCGGGCAGCAGCGCGUGAUGCCGAGGCCGUUUCUGAGGCGAUACAGGACGCCAUGCAAGAAUCCGAGCGGACCAAAGCUGCGGAGGUUGAGGCUGCCGUUAAAACGGCAAUCCAGGGAUACCGUUCGUCGGAGGAGUUCGCUGCCCUGCUGGACGGGGAAGUUGGCUCUGAGAUGGCGGAUAUGUUGUACCGAUUCAAGCGGUACAACCCUGGCCAGAAGCUGAACCUCAAUUUUGCUGCCGAUCCCCCUCCCCUUCCCGAAGGAAUAACAGAGGAAAUGAUCGAGGACUACGACGGGGAGGAGGCUGCUGAGGGGCCCGGGUCUGCCGAGGCUGCUGCCGGAGGCGAAGCUGUCGAGGCUGCUGCCGGAAGCGAAGCUGCCGCUUGAGGCGUUCUUAUUUGCAUCUUUGUAAUAGCUUAGCUUUCAUUUUCU
rnacentral:lncRNA from 1 species